rnacentral:tRNA from 1 species
UCCCUGGUGGCUCAGAUGGUAAAGCUUCUGCCUGCAAUGCGGGAGACCCGGGUUCUAUCCCUGGGUGGGGAA